rnacentral:rRNA from 1 species
UACGUAGGGAGCAAGCGUUGUCCGGAAUCAUUGGGCGUAAAGCGCGCGUAGGCGGCCUCAUAAGUCCGUUGUGAAAGUCAAAGGCUCAACCUUUGAAAGCCGAUGGAUACUGUGAGGCUAGAGUCCGGAAGAGGCGAGUGGAAUUCCUGGUGUAGCGGUGGAAUGCGUAGAGAUGUGGAGGAACACCAGUGGCGAAGGCGACUCUUUGGUCUGUAACUGACGCUGAGGCGCGAAAGCGUGGGGAGCAAACAGG